AUGUGUGUUCCAAAAGAUCAAGGAGGUAUGGGCUUUCAAGAUAUACAUUGUUUCAACUUGGCAUUGUCAGCUAAACAAGUGUGACGCCUUCUUGAUAAUCCCGAGUCCUUAUAUGCCACUAUAUUGAGAGCAAAGUAUUUUUCUGAUGGUGGUCUGAUGAAUGCAAGUCUAAAAAAGGGCUCUUCUUUUACUUGGCAAAACAUUAUGGCGGGAGUAAACUCAUUGAAAAAUGGUUAUAUAUGGCGUGUUGGAAAUGGACAGAACAUCGACAUUUGGAAAGAUGCAUGGAUUCCAAAUUGUGCAAAUAGAAAAAUUAUUACCAUAGAAGAGGGCACCUUCUAUCAAAGGCUUCAGAUCUUAUUGAUCCAGUCACGCAUGUUUGGGAUGAUGACUUGGUGUGACAAACAUUGUGGCCAAUUGAUGCCCAACUGGUCCUAA
rnacentral:rRNA from 1 species